GACGAACGCUGGCGGCGUGCUUAACACAUGCAAGUCGAACGGAAAGGCCCUGCUUUUGUGUGGUGCUCGAGUGGCGAACGGGUGAGUAACACGUGAGUAACCUGCCCUUGACUUUGGGAUAACUUCAGGAAACUGGGGCUAAUACCGGAUAGGAGCUCCUGCUGCAUGGUGGGGGUUGGAAAGCUUCGGCGGUUGUGGAUGGACUCGCGGCUUAUCAGCUGGUUGGUGGGGUAGUGGCUUACCAAGGCUUUGACGGGUAGCCGGCCUGAGAGGGUGACCGGCGACAUGGGGACUGAGAUACGGCCCAGACGGCUACGGGAGGCAGCAGUGGGGAAUAUUGCACAAUGGGCGGAAGCCUGAUGCAGCAACGCCGCGUGCGGGAAGACGGCCUUCGGGUGGUAAACCGCUUUCGCCUGUGACGAAGCGUGAGUGACGGUAAUGGGUAAAGAAGCACCGGCUAACUACGUG
rnacentral:rRNA from 1 species